rnacentral:rRNA from 1 species
AUUAAACGCUGGCGGCAUGCCUUACACAUGCAAGUCGAACGGCAGCACGGGGGCAACCCUGGUGGCGAGUGGCGGACGGGUGAGUAAAGCAUCGGAACGUAUCCUGGAGUGGGGGAUAACGUAGCGAAAGUUACGCUAAUACCGCAUAUUCUGUGAGCAGGAAAGCAGGGGAUCGCAAGACCUUGCGCUCUGGGAGCGGCCGAUGUCGGAUUAGCUAGUUGGUGGGUAAAGCCUACCAAGGCGACGAUCCGUAGCGGGUCUGAGAGGAUGAUCCGCCACACUGGGACUGAGACACGGCCCAGACUCCUACGGGAGGCAGCAGUGGGGAAUUUUGGGACAAUGGGCGGAAGCCUGAUCCAGCCAUGCCGCGUGAGUGAAGAAGGCCU